AGCCAUGCGAGUCGAGAGGUGUAAGACCUCGGCAUACUGCUCAGUAACACGUGGUUAACCUGCCCUAAGGUGGAGAAUACUCCCGGGAAACUGGGGUUAAUGCUCCAUAGUGGAUAUGUCCUGGAAUGGUAUAUCCUCGAAAGAUCCGUCGCCUUAGGAUGGGACUGCGUCCGAUUAGGUUGUUGGCGGGGUAACGGCCCACCAAGCCAUUGAUCGGUACGGGUUGUGGGAGCAAGAUCCCGGAGAUGGAUUCUGAGACAUGAAUCCAGGCCCUACGGGGCGCAGCAGGCGCGCAAACUUUACAAUGCGAGCAAUCGUGAUAAGGAAACCCUGAGUGCCUGUCGAUGCAGGCUGUUCAUAUAUCUAAAUCAUAUGUGAAGAAAGGGCAGGGCAAGACCGGUGCCAGCCGCCGCGGUAAUACCGGCUGCUCGAGUGAUGGCCACUAUUACUGGGUUUAAAGCGUCCGUAGCUUGACUGUUAGGUCCCUUGGGAAAUCUUCGCGCUUAACGUGAAGGCGUCUAAGAGAUACCGGCAGUCUUGGAACUGGGAGAGGUAAACCGUACUUCGGGGGUAGGAGUGAAAUCUUGUAAUCCUCGAGGGACGACCUAUGGCGAAGGCAGUUUACCAGAACAGCUUCGACAGUGAGGGACGAAAGCUGGGGGAGCAAACGGGAUUAGAUACCCCGGUAGUCCCAGCCGUAAACAAUGUGCGUUAGGUGUGUCGGUAACCACGCGUUACUGAUGCGCCGAAAAGAAAUCGUGAAACGCACCACCUGGGAAGUA
rnacentral:rRNA from 1 species